UACGUAGGGGGCGAGCGUUGUCCGGAAUCAUUGGGCGUAAAGAGCGUGUAGGCGGCUUGGCAAGUCUGACGUGAAAGCCCGCGGCUCAACCGCGGAUUGUCGUUGGAAACUGCCUCGCUAGAGUCCGGAAGAGGAGAGCGGAAUUCCUGGUGUAGCGGUGGAAUGCGCAGAUAUCAGGAAGAACACCCGUGGCGAAGGCGGCUCUCUGGGACGGUACUGACGGCUGAGACGCGAAAGCGUGGGGAGCGAACAGG
rnacentral:rRNA from 1 species